rnacentral:rRNA from 1 species
GUGGAAUCGUAAGGUUUCGUAGGUGACCUGCGGAAGGAUCAUUGUCGAGGCCCGAACGGACGAUCGUGAACUCGUGAACGCCCCCGUGGGAGGCUCGGACAUGGGGGGAAGCAUCUGCUCCCCUCCUUGCCACGCCUACCUCAGGGGCCCCGUGGCCCAUUGCCCGCCUUGCCUCUGUGCGGGACGGGCUGAGCCGAACAAGACCCGGGCGCGGUGGGCGCCAAGGAACAGUGCUUUCGGAGAGCUGAGGGCGUCGAACCGCCCAUGACGGGGAGGCGCACAAAGCGAUCCUACAAUACCAUAAACUUGUACGACUCUCGGCAACGGAUAUCUUGGCUCUCGCAUCGAUGAAGAACGUAGCGAAAUGCGAUACUUGGUGUGAAUUGCAGAAUCCCGCGAACCAUCGAGUCUUUGAACGCAAGUUGCGCCCGAGGCUAUCCGGCUGAGGGCACGCCUGCCUGGGCGUCACGCCUUACGUCGCUCCAUGCAUCGCCUACUCUGGCAGGCGCGGAAGCGGAGAUUGGCCCCCCGUGCCUCGCGGCGCGGCGGGUCAAAGUGCGAGCCGUCGGCUUGGCCGGACGCGGCGAAUGGUGGACGUAAAAGGACGGCGCUAAGCGUCGCGGACCACUGGCCUCGGCGGCGCACUCAAGGAACCCAUGUCGAUGGGUGCCAGCGAGCUCCCUCGGAAACACGACCCCAGGUCAGGCGGGGACACCCGCUGAGU